rnacentral:rRNA from 1 species
CCUACGGGGGGCUGCAGUGGGGAAUAUUGGACAAUGGGCGAAAGCCUGAUCCAGCCAUGCCGCGUGUGUGAAGAAGGCCUUCGGGUUGUAUAGCACUUUCAGUGGGGAAGAAAGCCUUGGGGCUAAUACCCUCGAGGAAGGACAUCACCCACAGAAGAAGCACCGGCUAACUCCGUGCCAGCAGCCGCGGUAAUACGGAGGGUGCGAGCGUUAAUCGGAAUUACUGGGCGUAAAGCGCGCGUAGGCGGUCUGAUAAGCCGGUUGUGAAAGCCCCGGGCUCAACCUGGGAACGGCAUCCGGAACUGUCAGGCUAGAGUGCAGGAGAGGAAGGUAGAAUUCCCGGUGUAGCGGUGAAAUGCGUAGAGAUCGGGAGGAAUACCAGUGGCGAAGGCGGCCUUCUGGACUGACACUGACGCUGAGGUGCGAAAGCGUGGGUAGCAAACAGGAUUAGAUACCCCAGUAGUC